AUUGAACGCCGGCGGAAUGCUUUACACAUGCAAGUCGAACGGUAGAGGGGGCAACCCCUCGAGAGUGGCGAACGGGUGAGUAAUGUAUCGGAACGUGCCCAGUCGUGGGGGAUAACGUAGUGAAAAUUACGCUAAUACCGCAUACGAUCUAUGGAUGAAAGCGGGGGAUCGCAAGACCCCGCGCGAUUGGAGCGGCCGAUAUCAGAUUAGGUAGUUGGUGGGGUAAAGGCCCACCAAGCCAACGACCUGUAGCUGGUCUGAGAGGACGACCAGCCACACUGGAACUGAGACACGGUCCAGACUCCUACGGGAGGCAGCAGUGGGGAAUUUUGGACAAUGGGCGAAAGCCUGAUCCAGCCAUUCCGCGUGCAGGAUGAAGGCCCUCGGGUUGUAAACUGCUUUUGUACAGAACGAAAAGGUUUCUACUAAUACUAGGAGCUCAUGACGGUACUGUAAGAAUAAGCACCGGCUAACUACGUGCCAGCAGCCGCAGUAA
rnacentral:rRNA from 1 species